GAAUGGAUUAAGAGCUUGCUCUUAUGAAGUUAGCAGCGGACGGGUGAGUAACACGUGGGUAACCUGCCCAUAAGACUGGGAUAACUCCGGGAAACCGGGGCUAAUACCGGAUAACAUUUUGAACUGCAUGGUUCGAAAUUGAACCGCGGCUUCGGCUGUCACUUAUGGAUGGACCCGCGUCGCAUUAGCUAGUUGGUGAGGUAACGGCUCACCAAGGCAACGAUGCGUAGCCGACCUGAGAGGGUGAUCGGCCACACUGGGACUGAGACACGGCCCAGACUCCUACGGGAGGCAGCAGUAGGGAAUCUUCCGCAAUGGACGAAAGUCUGACGGAGCAACGCCGCGUGAGUGAUGAAGGCUUUCGGGUCGUAAAACUCUGUUGUUAGGGAAGAACAAGUGCUAGUUGAAUAAGCUGGCACCUUGACGGUACCUAACCAGAAAGCCACGGCUAACUACGUGCCAGCAGCCGCGGUAAUACGUAGGUGGCAAGCGUUAUCCGGAAUUAUUGGGCGUAAAGCGCGCGCAGGUGGUUUCUU
rnacentral:rRNA from 1 species